GACGAGGGGUCCAAGCGUUGUUCGGAAUCAUUGGGCGUAAAGCGGGUGUAGGUGGCUUUGUAAGUCAGGAGUGAAAUCCCCGAGCUUAACUUGGGAAGUGCUUUUGAAACUGCAGAGCUUGAAUGUGGGAGAGGAUCGUGGAAUUCCAGGUGUAGUGGUGAAAAUACGUAGAUAUCUGGAGGAACACCGGUGGCGAAGGCGGCGA
rnacentral:rRNA from 1 species